rnacentral:rRNA from 1 species
AUUGAACGCUGGCGGCAUGCCUUACACAUGCAAGUCGAACGGCAGCACGGGUGCUUGCACCUGGUGGCGAGUGGCGAACGGGUGAGUAAUACAUCGGAACGUACCUUAUCGUGGGGGAUAACGCAGCGAAAGCUGUGCUAAUACCGCAUACGCCCUGAGGGGGAAAGCGGGGGAUCGCAAGACCUCGCGCGAUUAGAGCGGCCGAUGCCUGAUUAGGUUGUUAGUGGGGUAAAAGCCCACCAAGACGACGAUCAGUAGCUGGUCUAAGAGGACGAUCAGACACAGUGGAGGUGAGCAAUGGCGGAGACUCCUGCGGAAAGCAACGGUGGGGAAUUUUGGACAAUGGAGGCAACAUUGAUACAGCAAUGCCGGGUGAGGGAACAAGGGCAUCAGGCUGAUAAGCUCUAUUGACAGGGAAAGAAAAACGGCUCGAACAGAGACCGGGAAUGACGGUACCAGUAGCGUAAGCACCGGAUGAGUACGAGCCAGCAGCCUCGGUAA